rnacentral:tRNA from 1 species
GCUCCGGUAGCACAAUUGGUUAGUGCGUUGGACUUUUAGGGCAACCUAAACAGGCCAUCCAAAGGUUGCGGGUUCGACCCCGCCUGGAGCG